rnacentral:misc_RNA from 1 species
GAUGAAGAACGUAGCGAAAUGCGAUAAGUAAUGUGAAUUGCAGAAUUCAGUGAAUCAUCGAAUCUUUGAACGCACAUUGCGCCCGCCAGUAUUCUGGCGGGCAUGCGUGUUCGAGCGUCAUUACAACCCUCAGGCCCCCGGGCCUGGCGUUGGGGAUCGGCGGAAGCCCCCUGCGGGCACAACGCCGUCCCCCAAAUACAGUGGCGGUCCCGCCGCAGCUUCCAUUGCGUAGUAGCUAACACCUCGCAACUGGAGAGCGGCGCGGCCACGCCGUAAAACACCCAACUUCUGAAUGUUGACCUCGAAUCAGGUAGGAAUACCCGCUGAACUUAAGCAUAUCAAUAAGCGGAGGA